AUCGCUUCUCGGCCUUUUGGCUAAGAUCAAAUGUGUAGUAUCUGUUCUUAUCAGCUUAAUAUCUGAUAGAUUCUCAUCGAGAAUCCAGAAUAUUAAUCUGAUUUUUGAAACUUGGCGAAAACCUGGAGCUUGCUCCAGCUUUGCCGCAAGUUGCCCUGACAUUGCAGAGCCGUCAGGUGCAGCUGAAUAAAU